GUCUCUUUGUCUCCUCGACGGUGCCUCUCCCUCCCAUCCUCUCCUACUUUGGGCAAUUUGCCUCUCCCUCUCCACUACGAGAUCUGCUCAUCGAUGACCAGACCUCGACACCAAGGUCAUGGAUAGAGGAGAUCCACUUCGGGAGGAGAUCCUCUCCCUCUCUCUGCCCCUUAGUGUCCCUCUCUCUGUCUCUCAAUCUCCCACUCUCCCUCUCCAUCAAGAUCCCUCCGUCGAGAUCUGAUCUCUCUGACAGUGCCAAGCCCUCCCUCCUCUCCUGCUCCC
rnacentral:lncRNA from 1 species